UGAACUUUGAACUGCUUGUGGCUUUCAGGCUGUUGCUGGCGGGACCUUCACGGGUUUCGUACGUGCACGUCUGAGCUGCAACUUUCUUCGUCCACCUGUGCACACUCUGUAGGUCUGGGUACCCCAUUGGAAGGGUGCGUCUCCUUUAAAACGGGGGGCGCUCCCUUUGCCUUCCCAGGCCUAUGUCUUAUAAACACUUUUGUAUGUAAUGAAUGUCAUUGAUUAUUGGACUUCACCGUCCUUUAAACUAAAUA
rnacentral:misc_RNA from 1 species